rnacentral:tRNA from 1 species
GGUGGCUCAGUGGUAGAGCGCAUGCCUUGCAUGCACAAGGCCCUGGGUUCGAUUCCUCAGCACCA